CGUAGGGGGCAAGCGUUGUCCGGAUUUAUUGGGCGUAAAGAGCGUGUAGGCGGCCUGACAGGUCUGCUGUGAAAACUCGAGGCUCAACCUCGAGAUGUCGGCGGAAACCGUCUGGCUAGAGUCCGGAAGAGGAGAGUGGAAUUCCUGGUGUAGCGGUGAAAUGCGCAGAUAUCAGGAAGAACACCUAUGGCGGAGGCAGCUCUCUGGGACGGUACUGACGCUGAGACGCGAAAGCGUGGGGAGCGAACAGGAUUAGAUACCCUGGUAGUCCACGCCGUAAACGAUGGGUGCUAGGUGUGGGCGGUGUCGACUCCGUCCGUGCCGAAGCUAACGCAUUAAGCACCCCGCCUGGGGAGUACGGCCGCAAGGCUA
rnacentral:rRNA from 1 species